AAAGCACUACAAAGAAAUGUCUGAAAGAAUGAGAAAUCGGUCUGGGACUGAGGAUCUACCAUUUUAGGUCGGAAAAACAGAGGUAGAGAAUGGAGAUUGCAAACGGCAAGAUGAAAGACCACGUGAACAAUGCUCAGAUGGAGUAGAGUAGUGAAAUUAGGGUUGAAAAUAAAUAAUGGGACUCGAAACGUAAUGAAGAAGCAAAGGUACGUCGAUAAAACCGGGUAAGA
rnacentral:misc_RNA from 1 species